GAGUUUGAUCCUGGCUCAGAACGAACGUUGGCGGCGUGGAUUAGGCAUGCAAGUCGAACGAGAACCGUAGCAAUACGGGGAAAGUGGCGAAAGGGGCAGUAAUGCAUGGGUAAUCUACCCCGGGGACGUGGAUAGCCAUCCUAACGGGUGGGUAAUACACGGCGAUUCGGCGGCGACGCAUGUUGCUGCCGGGAAAGGAAUUUCGCCUCGGGAGGAGCUCAUGUCGUAUUAGCUAGUUGGUGGGGUAACGGCCCACCAAGGCGAAGAUGCGUAGCGGGUGUGAGAGCACGACCCGCGCCACUGGCACUGAGACACUGGCCAGACACCUACGGGUGGCUGCAGUCGAGGAUCUUCGGCAAUGGGCGCAAGCCUGACCGAGCGACGCCGCGUGCGGGACGAAGGCCUUCGGGUUGUAAACCGCUGUCGAGGGGGAGAAAGGCGCAAGCUUGAUCUAUCCCUGGAGGAAGCACGGGCUAAGUUCGUGCCAGCAGCCGCGGUAAGACGAACCGUGCAAACGUUGUUCGGAAUCACUGGGCAUAAAGGGCGCGUAGGCGGGCCGUCAAGUCAGGGGUGAAAUCCCCCAGCUCAACUGGGGAACUGCCCUUGAUACUGACGGUCUUGAGUGAGGUAGGGGUGUGCGGAACUGAUGGUGGAGCGGUGAAAUGUGUUGAUAUCAUCAGGAACUCCGGUGGCGAAGGCGGCACACUGGACCUUGACUGACGCUGAGGCGCGAAAGCUAGGGGAGCAAACGGGAUUAGAUACCCCGGUAGUCCUAGCCCUAAACGAUGGGUACUAGGUAGUAGUCUUGACAUGGGAUUACUGCCGGAGCAAAUGUGUUAAGUACCCCGCCUGGGGAGUAUGGUCGCAAGGCUGAACUCAAAGGAAUUGANGGGGCUCACACAAGCGGUGGAGCAUGUGGCUUAAUUCGAGGCUACGCGAGAACCUUAUCCUGGACUUGACAUGUGCGAAGCGCUGGGAA
rnacentral:rRNA from 1 species